rnacentral:rRNA from 1 species
CACGGGUGCGUAACACGUAUGCAACCUACCUCUUACUGAGGAAUAGCCCAGAGAAAUUUGGAUUAAUACCUCAUAACACCACAAGAUCGCAUGAUCUAAUGGUUAAAGGUUACGGUAAGAGAUGGGCAUGCGGCCUAUUAGUUUGUUGGUGAGGUAAUGGCUCACCAAGACUACGAUGGGUAGGGGGUCUGAGAGGACUAUCCCCCACACUGGUACUGAGACACGGACCAGACUCC